CACUCCGGCGCCACCGUCAGAAGUGCGGUUGGGUUUAAGUUGCCAUUCUUUCGACGAUUUCGUAGACUUUGGCUCUCCCUGCUGUCUGCUCUGCCUUCUCACUAGUUUUGAUUUCGUGAUUGCUGUUCUUUGGAAUCUAGCAAGUUUAGGUCUUGUGAAACAAUUAAUCGCCUCUGCUUUUCCUUUUCUGCCAUAGGAUCUCGCUCCAUAGCCCAGGCUGACCUCGAAUUCACAGGAUCCUCCUGCCGCAGCCUCCCAGGUCCUGGAAUUACAGCCUAAAAAUUUAGUUACUCAGCUGAGUUGGUGUUCUCAUCAGGAACCCAGCAGUCAAAACAAAGCACUGAAUUGAAUCCUGCUGGUUGCUGGAAUUUAGCGGUCCUGGAAGCCAGCUGGCACAGGAUGCACAAAGAAUGCCUCGUUCUAAACGAUCAAGGUUCCAGAAUGUAGACUACUUUCUGUGAAGGCCAUCUUAAUGAAAAAAAGAAGCUUGAACUAGACCAGUAGAAAUUACUCAGCCUAUUGACUUCAAACCUACUGGAGGCCGUCUUAUAAUCAGAAGAUUUUGUGGGAGACGUUUCUCUUCUCCAUCUACAAAGAGGUAAGAUCACCAUUAUUUCUCUGGGGUAACAGCAAUCUCCAUGAAUCUCUACCUCCAACUGGUCUUCUGCUGCAUCUGUUCUUCAUAGUGGAGUCAUGAAGUGCUAUGGAAAAAGUGUGCUGUUUCGUGGUGAGGGAACAUAUUAUCCACUGGUCUACCUGGAAACUGCAUUCUGGCUGUGAGCUCUUAAUUUGGAAUGCUGCUACCAGUUCAGUUUCUAUGAGUUUGCAUGAGCAGCAUCUGAAUGAAUCUGAUCAGCCUGAUUCAUCAGAGAGGAGACUUCUCCACUAGAUAAGAGGUGUAGAAGACCCACUCUAGAGCAGCUCAUUGCCUGGAGGAUAUAAAGAGGAAAUGAGGAAGGGCAAAUCUGCUUCAGUUCUUCAGAGGAGCUCCACUCUUUGCUUUCAACUUGGACAUCAUCUCCUGUCUUCCAUCGCGGAUUCUUCAGCUUCCCUCUCAGAUCCUUCAGCCUUCUGGUGUAGACUCGUCAGCCUUCCAUUGCAGACCCAUUGGCUUCCUGAUACAGACUCACACGGAGACUGUGGUGUGCACCAGACCUUGGAUUGAAAGCUUCUCCAGUGUGCAAAUGUUCUUUGCGUGUUUCCCACCCAACUCUGUGGCUCAAAAUUGUAAUUUCAUCCAAUCUCAUAAUUUCUUAUACAUUUGUAUAUCUUGUGUUAUGUCUGUUUCUCUAGUAGAACACUGACUAAUGUAGCCUUCAUGUCCUCAUCUAAAAACAGGGAUAAUAAGCUCUAAUUUAUGUGAUAAAUUUUUAAAUGGUCAUGGGGCAUACAAAAGAUUCUUAAAGGGCUGGUGUCUGCAGUGCUGUCCAGUACAACCGUCAGUAGCCAUGUGUGGCUAUUGAACAUUUCAAGUAUGAUCAGUGUGAUUGGGGAAUUCAAUUUAAUUUAAUUUGGAUUUUUAAAUCUGAAAUUAGAUUCAGUUAUUGGAAAACUUAUUAGUUUCUUUGGUUCAACUUAAAUAUGAAACAACUAUAAAUGUUAUGAAAUCUAAAUGUAGGUAAAAUUAGUUUUGAUCAAAAUUUUGAUUUUGAGUUGCAACAUGCUCAACUGUAAAAUGCACUGAGUUUCAAAGACAGUUUAAAAAUUGUAAAACAUUGAAAAAUGUUGUAUUGAAUAGAUAUGUAAGUUAUAAUAUUUUAGCUGUUUUGAAUUAAAUAAACUAUAUAUUAAAAUGA